rnacentral:rRNA from 1 species
GAUGAACGCUGGCGGCGUGCCUAAUACAUGCAAGUCGAGCGAACAGACGAGGAGCUUGCUCCUCUGACGUUAGCGGCGGACGGGUGAGUAACACGUGGAUAACCUACCUAUAAGACUGGGAUAACUUCGGGAAACCGGAGCUAAUACCGGAUAAUAUAUUGAGCCGCAUGGUUCAAUAGUGAAAGACGGUUUUGCUGUCACUUAUAGAUGGAUCCGCGCCGCAUUAGCUAGUUGGUAAGGUAACGGCUUACCAAGGCAACGAUGCGUAGCCGACCUGAGAGGGUGAUCGGCCACACUGGAACUGAGACACGGUCCAGACUCCUACGGGAGGCAGCAGUAGGGAAUCUUCCGCAAUGGGCGAAAGCCUGACGGAGCAACGCCGCGUGAGUGAUGAAGGUCUUCGGAUCGUAAAACUCUGUUAUUAGGGAAGAACAAAUGUGUAAGUAACUAUGCACGUCCUGACGGUACCUAAUCAGAAAGCCACGGCUAACUACGUG